rnacentral:lncRNA from 1 species
CCUGGCAGUGCCAUUUCAUCCCUGAGUUCUCAGGAAUGUGUUUGCAGCCACUGAGGGCAUCCUCAAAGCACCCAGUAAUGUGGAUUUUCUUCACUGUGCUUUUACCAGGGCAGAAAAGCUGCAGCUGCUGAANNNNNNNNNNAGUGCAGUGGAGAUCCAGCUGAUGGUGGAAGAAAGCGAGGAGAGGCUGACAGAGGAGCAGAUCGAGUCCCUCCUGCAGACAGUCACCACCAUCCUGCCAGGGGACCCAGAGGAGCAGCACAGGGACUCAGCAAUGGCAGCAGAACACAGAGACCUUAAUUUAUUUGGGAUUGGGAUCCCCAUGGCACGUGCACUAGAGGAUAAUUUGGAGUAAGGAG